CCCCCCCCCCCCCCCCCGGAAUCCUGUGUACGCGGCCAAGAUGACCACGCCGCUCGUAGCCACGUCUGGGCCAUCCGCACUAUCGUCCUCGCCUUAGAGUUCAGCAUCGGAACUAAAACCUGCCGCUCUGAAGGUGCCAGUGUUGGUGAGGGAAUUUAUCAAUGGUGGGUUCAGUACAGUAUCUGCUGCUAUGUUAUUUGCAGCCAGAGAAGAUAUAUGUUCAUGCCAUUUUCUUAACUGUGUCACUCGUUUGCAGCUAGUGUACAAACAAACAAAUUAUAGGCAUGCAUGAGUAGUGCACGGACGCAUGUUAGUGUAUCUUACCAGAGAUGGACAAAGUCUUUUUGCGUAAUUAUGCCUGAACGUGCAUGGUAAGAACAAAAUCCUGACUGAUUAUUGAUAGAGCAAGUAGAUACUCUCAUCACUGAGAAAAAUCUUGUUUAGUUGAGAGUGUUCCAUGGGAACCCUCAGUCAGUGUAGCAGCACGGACAUGUAUAAUCAACUUCUCUGCACCAGCUGAGCUAGUGUCUUACUGACUUCCAAGUCAUAAACAAUGUCAAUAAUGUUGAUAAGUGCCAGCUGCAAAUAAUCUGCAAACACCACAACAGGCUUUCCCUUGUAGCAAUGUCCUUUUAUAUUCAUAUAAUCCUUACCUAAUCAAAUUGUCGUAUCCCCGUAUGCUAGAGGACGAGUUUAGUCAGGCCAGCAACAAUGCGGAACUACAUAAUUAAAUAACCUGAUAUGAACUGUGAGCACAUGAUGAUUGUGUGGGUGCAAAUAAAUGGAAGUCGAAAUGCUUUUGGCUGCGACUUACUAUUCCUUAGCCUAUAUGCAUGUCUUAGUUAAACUUGAAAAUCAUUGUUUUCUCCUAUGAUGUUAUGUGAUUCAGUAAUAAAUUAGUAGACUCGAAUAUUUCUUGUUUUGAUUAGUCUUUUGGAAAAUAUGACCUUCAUUGAAUACUCUACUCUUUAUAUGUCGCUCAAGGGUUCCUCGUCGUAUCUUUUGUUCUUGUUUUUGUUCAAUCUGCAUUUAUAUGUUAGUCUAGUUAUUAGAUUGAUUUUAGAAUGUUCAUCCAACUUUUGUUGAUCUAAGAAACAUCUUGCAUGCUAUAGAAGUCAUAUUAGCUAAACUUGGCUUGUAGUUUUCUCUAUGAAAGUGGUUAUAUUUUGAUUUUUAUCUUUUGGUUUGCUACAGUGGAAUGCUCAUCACCUCAUAGGGAAGAUCUGAACCAAGUGAAUGCAAGGAUUUUUUGGCAAUGUCUAGCUCAAUCUCACCUUCGAGAAAAUGUAAUAUUUUUCCUCCGGAGUUAGUCUAAACUAUCCAGGUUGUAUGCUACUACUGAGAUCCCAUCAAGGAUGAUCUGAAGCACUCAAAAGAAGCGAAGGGCAGAAGAAGCUUCGUUUCUCAUUGAUGUUAUGUGUGAUCAACUAAAAUUUGGCCAUCUCGUCCAAUCUUUGUAGAACUAUGUUGUUGUGCACCUGUGCACUUGUUGGGUCUUUUUGUUGUGCACUUGCACUUGUAGCAUUAUUUUGCUGUGCACUUGUUGGACCUUGGACCUUGCUGUGUAGAGGAGUUAAUGGAUGAUGUAUUGUAUUUCAUGUGAUGUGUUACUGAAAUGAAAUAUACAAUUUAUCUGCAAUAUCGUAU